GACGAACGCUGGCGGCGUGCUUAACACAUGCAAGUCGAACGGAAAGGCCCUGCUUUCGGGGUGCUCUCGUGGCGAACGGGUGAGUAACACGUGGGUGUUCUCCCCUGCACUUCGGGGUAAGCCUUGAAGACUGUGUGUAAUAUCGGAUAGAGGCGCUCCUUAGUGUGGUGGUUGGAAGGUAUUUUCGGUGUAGGAUGAGCUCGCGGCCUAUCAGCUUGUUGGUGGGGUAAUGGCCUACCAAGGCGGCGACGGGUAGCCGGCCUGGGAGGGUGGACGGCCACAAUGGGGCUGAGAUACGGCCCAGACCCCUACGGGAGGGAGCAGGGGGGAAUAUUGCACAAUGGGCGCAAGCCUGAUGCAGCGACGCCGCGGGGGGGAAGACCGCCCUUGGGUUGUAAACUCCUUUCGCCAGGGACGAAGGUGUUUGUGACGGUACCUAGAUAAGAAGCACCGGCUAACUACGUG
rnacentral:rRNA from 1 species